UGGGGCAAGAUGAUCUCAUUGAGGUCUACACCAUCAUCGUCUAUACAUACUGCUAAUAGCAAAUACAUAUUCCAUACAUAAAGGACAGAUGAAAUGAUUUAUGAGUUUUUGUUUGGGGAGCUGACUACUCAGGUAGUGAUGGCAUGAAUUCUGGCUCAAUGAAUAUUAUCAGAGGUUUUUAAUCAAAAUUUGGGUUCAUCAUCAGCUCUACCAACUACAACAAGGGACACCAUUUUGUUGGUUCAUGGAUCGUCAUUGGAUAGGGACAUCAUCAGCUCUGAAUUUA